rnacentral:rRNA from 1 species
GACGAACGCUGGCGGCGUGCUUAACACAUGCAAGUCGAGCGGAAAGGCCCUUCGGGGUACUCGAGCGGCGAACGGGUGAGUAACACGUGAGUAACCUGCCCCAGACUUUGGGAUAACCCUCGGAAACGGGGGCUAAUACCGGAUACGCCCCAGCUUCGCAUGGGGUCUGUGUGGAAAGUUUUUCGGUUUGGGAUGGGCUCGCGGCCUAUCAGCUUGUUGGUGGGGUGAUGGCCUACCAAGGCGACGACGGGUAGCCGGCCUGAGAGGGCGACCGGCCACACUGGGACUGAGACACGGCCCAGACUCCUACGGGAGGCAGCAGUGGGGAAUAUUGCACAAUGGGCGGAAGCCUGAUGCAGCGACGCCGCGUGAGGGAUGACGGCCUUCGGGUUGUAAACCUCUUUCAGCAGGGACGAAGCGUAAGUGACGGUACCUGCAGAAGAAGCGCCGGCCAACUACGUG